UGAUGAUGGUGACGACAAUUUCUUAUUAUACUUCUGAAUCUCUCCUAAGCUUGGUAGAGAUUCUCUCUUUCCUUCUAUCUAAAACUCAAAAUCUCACUUCUCAAACA
rfam:Capsicum annuum cultivar Zunla-1 chromosome 8, whole genome shotgun sequence